rnacentral:lncRNA from 1 species
AUGGCACAUUCCUUCAUGCAGUAUUUAAAUGACAAGAGAAGUCAAGAGAAGAAAGUCAUGUCGCUUAUACAGAAGACCUUUCAAGAGGUUCUUCACCAACAGGACCAGAAACACACAGCAACAGGUCAUCCUAACCCCACCCAGGUUAACUGUCUGGACAGCUGUGAGUCAAGCCUUCAAGCCAUGCUGCUUUAUCUGAUUGGUCUCAGUCUUGAUCUGGCACAUGAAAGGAAAUGUGAGGAAGUUUCAAGCAGGGAUCAUUUUGCAAGUCCAGAGCUGAGGAGUGGUAAUGACAGUGGUGCUAACUGCGAUGGAGAAGUGAUGUGUUGCUAGGCUAAACUUGGAAGGACAGGCACUGAUCUGUUGGAAAUCAUCUAUAUUUUUAUUUUUGAAUGCAAAAUUCUCCAGGUCCUUAUUUGGUAUUGAGGGGUGGGGGCUGUCUCACUUCUCACUUCAGAAUUUUAUAAUCAAAUAGGCACAGUCCUGGGAUGCUCUCAUCACUUGUAUGCUUAUCAGGGAGAGCUGUGCACAAGCUGGAACUAAACUAAACCCUCAAUGCAAAUCCCCACUGUGCCCUGGGAGGAGGAUAAUAAGAAAAGGAGUAUGACAUGGCCUUGUAUCUCCCUCACCUUAACAAGAGCAGGAAGGAUUUCAUGGGGAAUAACAAUACUUGCAUCUUUAGCUACCCUAUGGAAAUCAAUGCAAAGUGUGCUCCCGCUAAGGGACAAAGAGCCUCAAGGCCUAAUUGAGUUAAGCAAUUCCUGCACAAUUUUAUCUUGUCCUUUAGAAGUCCUUUCAUUUACAAACAGUUUCAAGGUAUUCCUUGGUUUCUCUGUGCUGUUUUCACCAUUUUAUCAUAACACCAGGGAACU